CUACGGGAUGCUCCAGUGGGGAAUAUUGCACAAUGGGCGAAAGCCUGAUGCAGCAACGCCGCGUGGAGGAUGACACAUUUCGGUGCGUAAACUCCUUUUAUAUAAGAAGAUAAUGACGGUAUUAUAUGAAUAAGCACCGGCUAACUCCGUGCCAGCAGCCGCGGUAAUACGGGGGGUGCAAGCGUUACUCGGAAUCACUGGGCGUAAAGAGCAUGUAGGCUGGAUGACAAGUUGGAAGUGAAAUCCUAUGGCUUAACCAUAGAACUGCUUCCAAAACUGUCUUCCUAGAGUAUGGGAGAGGUAGAUGGAAUUUCUGGUGUAGGGGUAAAAUCCGUAGAGAUCAGAAGGAAUACCGAUUGCGAAGGCGAUCUACUGGAACAUUACUGACGCUCAGAUGCGAAAGCGUGGGGAGCAAACAGGAUUAGAUACCCUUGUAGUC
rnacentral:rRNA from 1 species